GACGAACGCUGGCGGCGUGCUUAACACAUGCAAGUCGAACGGUGAAAGCGGAGCUUGCUCCGCUGGAUCAGUGGCGAACGGGUGAGUAACACGUGGGCAACCUGCCCCUCACUUCGGGAUAACUCCGGGAAACCGGGGCUAAUACCGGAUAGGACCACUGCCUGCAUGGGUGGUGGUGGAAAGCUUUUGCGGUGUGGGAUGGGCCCGCGGCCUAUCAGCUUGUUGGUGGGGUGAUGGCCUACCAAGGCGACGACGGGUAGCCGGCCUGAGAGGGUGACCGGCCACACUGGGACUGAGAUACGGCCCAGACUCCUACGGGAGGCAGCAGUGGGGAAUAUUGCACAAUGGGCGCAAGCCUGAUGCAGCGACGCCGCGUGAGGGAUGACGGCCUUCGGGUUGUAAACCUCUUUCAGCACCGACGAAGCGCAAGUGACGGUAGGUGCAGAAGAAGGACCGGCCAACUACGUGCCAGCCGCCGCGGUAA
rnacentral:rRNA from 1 species